UACGGAGGGGGCUAGCGUUGUUCGGAAUUACUGGGCGUAAAGCGUACGUAGGCGGCUUUGUAAGUUAGAGGUGAAAGCCCGGAGCUCAACUCCGGAAUUGCCUUUAAGACUGCAUCGCUCGAAUCGUGGAGAGGUGAGUGGAAUUCCGAGUGUAGAGGUGAAAUUCGUAGAUAUUCGGAAGAACACCAGUGGCGAAGGCGACUCACUGGACACGUAUUGACGCUGAGGUACGAAAGCGUGGGGAGCAAACAGG
rnacentral:rRNA from 1 species